AAAGAUGAACCGACUGGGCACGGUGGCUCACGCCUGUAAUCCCAGCACUUUGGGAGGCCAAGGCGGGUGGAUCACCUGAGGUCAGGAGUUGAAGACCAGCCUGGCCAACAUGGUGAAACCCCAUCUCUACUAAAAAUGCAAAAAUUAGCCGGGUGUGGUGGCAGGUGCCUGUAAUCCCAGCUAGUUGGGAGGCUGAGUCAAGAGAAUUGCUUGAACCCGGGAGGUGGAGGUUGCAGUGAGCUGAGAUCUUGCCAUUGCACUCCAGCCUGGGCGACAGAGUGAGACUCCUCGAAAACAAAAAAGAAAAAGAUGACCCAUGCAGUGGAAUAGUGGUUUAAUUUUACUUAUAUUUAUAGAUACACAGAUUAAAAUAUUUAUCUUCCAGAUUGGUAAA
rnacentral:lncRNA from 1 species